UACGUAGGGUGCAAGCGUUAAUCGGAAUUACUGGGCGUAAAGCGUGCGCAGGCGGCGCCGCAAGUCGAGUGUGAAAUCCCCGAGCUUAACUUGGGAAUUGCGCUCGAAACUACGGUGCUGGAGUGUGGCAGAGGGAGGCGGAAUUCCACGUGUAGCGGUGAAAUGCGUAGAGAUGUGGAGGAACACCGAUGGCGAAGGCAGCCUCCUGGGCCAACACUGACGCUCAUGCACGAAAGCGUGGGGAGCAAACAGG
rnacentral:rRNA from 1 species